GAAAUGUCAAAGAUGUUUUUAGAUAUGGAUGUUUCGGUUUUUGUGCAUGUUUAUAUCACCUAGAUAAUAAUUUCUAGUCCACCUUAUCUUUGGAGAAAGGACCGAGUUCAACUUCAGCUAGAAAAUGGUCUUGGCCUUGAGUUGAAUAACAUUUGUGGAAAUGAUUGGGUGUUCAGCGAUGGUGAUCGAGGUAACUUCUCAGGGUUUGGCUCCUUCCAAUGCCUAAAAACUGGUAGUAGACUGAAAAUGGUGAGCAUAUGUAGAAGGGUGAUCGAACUAAUAUAUAAAUGUCCUUGUGCAAAAUAUAAUAUGUAGAAGGGUUUGGCUGGUGUUUUAGCAUGGAAAGAUCCAUGUCUUGGUUCCUUCCCUUAAGAUUGCAGAGAUUCUGUAACAUAACACGCCUUUCUAGGUUGUAUUAAUUGGUAAUCAAAAUAACACUCCUUAUGUUGAGAAGGAUAA